rnacentral:rRNA from 1 species
ACGAAGGCUGGCGGCGUGCUUAACAUAUGCAAGUCGAACGGAAAGGCCCUGCUUGCAGGGUGCUCGAGUGGCGAACGGGUGAGUAACACGUGGGUGAUCUGCCCCUUACUUUGGGAUAAGCCUGGGAAACUGGGUCUAAUACUGGAUAGGACCAUGCUGUAGGUGGUGUGGUGGAAAGAUUAGUUUCGGUAAGGGAUGAGCUCGCGGCCUAUCAGCUUGUUGGUGGGGUAAUGGCCUACCAAGGCGUCGACGGGUAGCCGGCCUGAGAGGGUGGACGGUCACAUUGGGACUGAGAUACGGCACAGACUCCUACGGGAGGCAGCAGUGGGGAAUAUUGCACAAUGGGCGCCAGCCUGAUGCAGCAACGCCGCGUGGGGGAUGACGGCCUUCCAGUUGUAAACGCCUUUCAGCCAUGACGAAGCGCUUGUGGUGACGGUAGUGGUAGAAGAAGCACCGGCUAACUACGUG